rnacentral:SRP_RNA from 1 species
GCUGGGCGUGGUGGCGCAUGCCUGUAAUCCCAGCUACUGAGGAGGCUGAGGCAGGAGAAUCGCUUGAACCAGAGAGUCGGAGGUUGCAGUGAGCCAAGAUCACGCCACUGCCCUCCAGCCCUGGCGACAGAGCGAGAUUCCGUCUCAU